rnacentral:lncRNA from 13 species
UCCUUUCCUCUCCCUGACGUUACAUGAUUAGUUCUUGAAUUUCAGAGAGGGUAUCUCUAUCUUAAUUCACCUCUGAAUCUGCAGAAUUCAGUCCAUUGACCAUGACUCAGCAGGCAAAGUGACAAUUGUUGAGUGGAUGUUUGAUCUACAUAGGAUGAUAGCUGUUCAGAGUGGCCUCCUCACUGCUAUACAGACACCUCUGGACUUGUCCUGAAGGAGGAAACCAAGGGGAGGGGCUGCUGGCCAGUGGCCACCAGGCUCCCAGAGCUGGAAUUCAAAGCCAUGGAUGGAGAGCCAAACUCUGCGUGUGCUUCGCCUAUUAGGCUAAUUAUGCUUAAAAACUACACAAAUGGGCAAGGAUCAGCAUGAUGUCUGAAGAAAGACAGAAGGAAUUGAGAAGUGCUACAGAUGAACAGGUUCAGCCCCUACAUUUUGCAGUAGGGCUGCAAAGCAAGACAUGAGAUGAGGUAAAAUGAAUAUUAAUGUUACUGAAUACUGAUGUGGGAUCAACUCAGACACUAUAAAAAACUCAAAUACCUAAGACUUAUAGUAAAGCUUGGCUUACACCAGUUCAUUACUUUGGGAUGAUUUAACUAAAUAACCAA